GCCCAGACUCCUACGGGAGGCAGCAGUGGGGGAUAUUGCACAAUGGGGGGAACCCUGAUGCAGCGACGCCGCGUGGGUGAAGGAGCACCUCGGUGCGUAAAGCCCUAUCGGCAGGGAAGAAACAGACGGUACCUGACUAAGAAGCCCCGGCUAACUACGUGCCAGCAGCCGCGGUAAUACGUAGGGGGCAAGCGUUAUCCGGAUUCACUGGGUGUAAAGGGAGCGUAGACGGCGAAGUAAGCCUGAAGUGGAAGCCCGCGGCCCAACCGCGGAACUGCUUUGGGAACUGUUUUGCUGGAGUAUGGGAGGGGUAAGCGGAAUUCCUGGUGUAGCGGUGAAAUGCGUAGAUAUCAGGAGGAACACCGGUGGCGAAGGCGGCUUACUGGACCAUGACUGACGUUGAGGCUCGAAAGCGUGGGGAGCGAACAGGAUUAGAUACCCCAGUAAUU
rnacentral:rRNA from 1 species